AGGGUCUCUGUCCCCAGAGACUGUAAAUGUCAGGAAUGAAUCUGUGAAACACUGAGAUUUAGCAGGACUUUCAGUUUACACAUGUAAUCUCUUAAAUUGAUUCCCCAAAUUAUUUCCCCCCUAAACUUUCUUCCACCUUAUGUUGGGGCCAUUCGAAAAAAGCCCUAGAAAAGCCAGUGGUGCUUUCCAGUCUGAAUCCGACAGCCUGAGAACUGGGAUGUUAAUAAUGUAAAUUCCAGCCUGAGAGCAGAAGACAAAAUGAGAUGUCUCACUCCAGAGUUUUGCUGCAGUGGAAAGAAAUCUUUAAAGCAGCGUUUAACUUGAUCAGCUCAACUAUACUGUCUACCUGAAAAGUCACUAUUUUGUCC
ensembl:lncRNA